UACGAAGGGGGCUAGCGUUGUUCGGAAUUACUGGGCAUAAAGCGCACGUAGGCGGACUAUUAAGUCAGGGGUGAAAUCCCGGGGCUCAACCCCGGAACUGCCUUUGAUACUGCAAAUCUCGAGUCCGAUAGAGGUGGGUGGAAUUCCUAGUGUAGAGGUGAAAUUCGUAGAUAUUAGGAGGAACACCAGUGGCGAAGGCGGCACUCUGGGCCGGAACUGACGCUGAGGAGCGAAAGCGUGGGGAGCAAACAGG
rnacentral:rRNA from 1 species